CUUCUGAGGCGUGUGCGCAGGCAAAGACACUUCCGUCGAAACCCAGGACGUCUUGGCACUGCAGAGCCCGACCAAGCAGCGAGAAAGAGCAGUCAAUAAACCGAGCUGGUAUUGUUCAAGAGAAUAUUCAGCCUCCAGGAUUAAAAGUGUGGUCUGAUCCAUUUGGAAGAAAGUAAUAUUGCUGGCUGAGUGCGUGGCAUGGCAGGACUGAAGACAGACUUCAGUUGCCUCUUCUUACGCUGAAGUGAGUCUUCACGUGUUGCUGGAGAAGAAUGCCAAAUAUGCUGUGCGGGCAUGUGAGGAGCCAGAAACGCUUCUGGUUAGGAUGCCAAGAUGAAAAAACAUACUAGUUUUGAUAGUGGAUCCUGGGGCGUAAUGCACAGAAUGUAAGCGAGCUGAAUGAUUCUUGAGUUUAGAACUGAAAUAUUUAUUUCCUUGACAAGAGGGAAGUGGAAUUGUUUUUGUGGUUAGUCUGUAAACAUUUCUAGAAUAAAUUAUGAAUAGAAUAAAUGAUGCAGACCGCUACAGCUUCCUCCCUGGUUUGAGAAUUACUUUUUGUGGUUUUAUUAUGAAAACAUAAUAGAAUGAUAGAGGUAUAUACUGAGAGAGACCAGUGCAGAAAAUAUAAAAUGAGUGUAAAUAUGUAUAUUAAAAUUUUUCUUUUAAACCAAUGUGUAUUUUUUAUUUCAAUUUUUUGCAAAUAUGUUAACACACAAUGUUGGGGUGGAAAAAUAGAUCCUUUAAAGGUUCUAUUUAAAAAAAAAAUCACUUCUUUAUCCUGAGAAUAACGAUCAUUAGUAGGGGCAAUCCUUUACUAAAUUGUUCUAAAAAUCUUUACCCUAAUUGGAUGCCUUUCUAAACAAUAGGUUAUGAAUGAAUCAAGUGUUUUUGGAUUUCAGAAGAAAGAAACUGUCUAUUAUAAACUGUCUGUAAUCUGUAACCUACCUGAUACUGCCAGAGUACUAAUACAGCGUGUUCACUUAACUUGAAUUUACUACCUUUUUUCCCCCCUCACUUCUCACUGUAUUCUCAAAACUUCAUUACGGACAGUAGCACUUUAAAGAUCAUUACAAGAUCUAUGUAAUUUACAUGAAUGUAUGUACCAGGAGUAUUAUUUAGUGAGUUACUAGGCUUUAGUUUAUUUUUAUGUAUAUCACACACACUUGAAUAAUAAAGAUUAAAGACUUGACAGGUAUAGUAGUCUUUUUUUCAAACUACCAUUUUGUUACCUGCUAUUCCUUUUCUACCUUCCAUUGUCAUUACCCUCUCACUCAGAUACUCCUUUUUUUUUUUUUUUUAAAAAGAGACUUCUAUUAUCACAGUAAGUAUUACAGUUCUUUCAGUUUGCUUGUGAGGAAAAUGUGACCACAGUUGAUGCCUGUGAGUUCUCAGGUGCUUUCAUACCAUAUGUAAUGGUUGAAGCCAGAGUGAGUCUACUGCAUUCGCUUACUUAAGUGAUGUUGACAGAAAUUUCACUGCAUAGCAUAGCGCAGCACUGUCUUUGCUAGGAAAAGAGGAACCAAUUAACAAAAUCAAGAGCAAAGAGGUUUCUAACAUUUAAACAUUUCUUCAGUGAGUGGAAGAAGGGAGUGACUUUUUUUUUUUCCUUCGACAGACUUGUUUCUUCCAAAACCUUUUUCCAGCUGAAAUAAAGCAUUGCUUAAAUAUGCAUAUGUUAUUUAUAGCUGACUAGCUGUGAAACAAAGGAGUGUUUUAGAAGAAACUGGAAAUUGUUUAAUGAUGUUGCUGCUACUUCUGUAAAUUGGUGGCACAAAUGCUUAAAGAAGCAUAGAUCAUGUAGUGUGGAGCAGUUAUUAGCCCAUCACUUCUGCAGGAGAAAUGAUGUGACACAGCAUGUUACUUAAUCAGGACUUACGAGAUAAAACCGAAUCUCUACAAUUCAUUUGCUUUGUGAUGUGGAGUAAUUUGCUGAGUCUGGCUCUUGCCUAGAGAACCAUUAGGUGAUUUCAGAACAGCAGCAGUGUGCUAGCAGGUUCUGAGCCUUUUGCCUUCAUUUUACUCAAAUGUUGCAUUUAUAAAAUCUUGCAUGCCUGUUGGUCAUGAUCUGUAGUUCCUAUCAGUGGAAGAAUGAGAUGACAGUAUAUACAAAUAGGCUUUAAGAAGUUUUGUAAUAUCCUGUAAAAAAUUUGCAGCAGUGCAUACCUGUUGCUUACUAUUGCAGUGAAUAAACUCAGAAAAUGAUGAUUUUUUUUUCUUAAUGAUCACCACUUUCUUGUUUGCCAUGAUCCAUCUAAUUAAGUGGGCUGAUACACAAUGUGUUAAAAACGAGGAUAGUGAAAGUCUUUUUCAAAUGUUUGAUGUUUACUGUUUUUGGAAACCAAUAAAAAAUAAAACUUAA